GAUGAACGCUGGCGGCGUGCCUAAUACAUGCAAGUCGAGCGAACAGACGAGGAGCUUGCUCCUCUGACGUUAGCGGCGGACGGGUGAGUAACACGUGGAUAACCUACCUAUAAGACUGGGAUAACUUCGGGAAACGGGAGCAAAUACCGGAUAAUAUAUUGAACCGCAUGGUUCAAUAGUGAAAGACGGUUUUGCUGUCACUUAUAGAUGGAUCCGCGCCGCAUUAGCUAGUUGGUAAGGUAACGGCUUACCAAGGCGACGAUGCGUAGCCGACCUGAGAGGGUGAUCGGCCACACUGGAACUGAGACACGGUCCAGACUCCUCCGGGAGGCCGCAGUAGGGAAUCUUCCGCAAUGGGCGAAAGCCUGACGGAGCAACGCCGCGUGAGUGAUGACGGUCUUCGGAUCGUAAAACUCUGUUAUUAGGGAAGAACAAAUGUGUAAGUAACUAUGCACGUCUUGACGGUACCUAAUCAGAAAGCCACGGCUAACUACGUG
rnacentral:rRNA from 1 species